rnacentral:tRNA from 1 species
AUUAUUUUGGCAGAUUAUGCGCUAGAUUUAGAAUCUAGUAAUAUAGAAUUUCUAUAAAUAAUA